rnacentral:rRNA from 1 species
GUUGCAGUGAUCACGGCUGGCAUAAUAACAGUGGUGGCUAUAGUUGCGAUAUACCAAUGCGCCAGAGCCAAGUACAGCAUGGAAAGGUAUUUGCAGAUGCAGCAGGAUGGCAGGGGGCACACGCCGAGGGUCGUCGACGAGGGCCACGUUGAGAUGGGCAACAUGAGCUUCUUCAUCGAGGGCGUCCAGAACGAGCGGCCCGUUCGGUUCAGCUCGCAGCAGCUGCGGGGCUUCACCCAGGGGUUCGCUCACAAGGUCGGCUCCGGCGGCUUCGGCGUGGUGUACAGGGCCCGGUUCCCCAACGGCACGCCCGUGGCCGUGAAGGUGCUCAACAGCACGCUCGGGAGGCGCGCGGAGGAGCAGUUCAUGGCGGAGGUGGGCACCAUCGGGAGGACCUACCACAUCAACCUCGUCCGCCUCUACGGCUUCUGCUUCGACGCGGCCGUGAAGGCGCUCGUGUAUGAGUACAUGGAGAACGGCUCGCUGGACCGGCACCUGUUCGGGUCGCCGGUGCCGGAGGCCCGUGCCAUCGGGUUCGAGAAGCUCCACGACAUCGCCGUCGGGACGGCCAAGGCGGUGCGGUACCUGCACGAGGAGUGCCAGCACCGGAUCAUCCACUACGACAUCAAGCCGGAGAACGUGCUGCUCGGGGCCGACAUGGCGCCCAAGGUGUCCGACUUCGGGCUCGCCAAGCUGUGCGACAGGGAGGACACCCACCUGACCAUCACGGGCGCGCGGGGCACGCCCGGGUACGCAGCGCCGGAGCUGUGGAUGCCGCUGCCGGUGACGCACAAGUGCGACGUGUACAGCUACGGGAUGCUGCUGUUCGAGAUGCUGGGGCGGCGGCGGAACCUGGAGCUCGGGCUGCACAGCCGCGCUGAGAGCCAGGAGUGGUACCCGCGGUGGGUGUGGCACCGGUUCGAGGCCGGCGAGAUGGACGCCGUGCUGGCGCGCGCGAUGGCCGCGGGGGAGCUGGACGCCACGGAGAAGGCGGCGAGGAUGUGCAAGGUGGCUCUGUGGUGCGUGCAGUACCGGCCGGAGGACAGGCCAUCCAUGGGCAACGUGGUGCGGAUGCUGGAGGGGGAGGAGCAGAUCGCCUCGCCGGGCAACCCGUUCGCGCACCUCGCGGCAUACAGCGUCGGCGCAACGCUGUCCGAUGACACCACCACAGAAUCCCACGGUUCUUCAGCUUUCACCGGCAGGUAG